AUAGCUGGUUCUCCCCGAAAGCUAUUUAGGUAGCGCCUCGUGAACUCAUCUUCGGGGGUAGAGCACUGUUUCGGCUAGGGGGUCAUCCCGACUUACCAACCCGAUGCAAACUGCGAAUACCGAAGAAUGUUAUCACGGGAGACACACGGCGGGUGCUAACGUCCGUCGUGAAGAGGGAAACAACCCAGACCGCCAGCUAAGGUCCCAAAGUCAUGGUUAAGUGGGAAACGAUGUGGGAAGGCACAGACAGCCAGGAUGUUGGCUUAGAAGCAGCCAUCAUUUAAAGAAAGCGUAAUAGCUCACUGGUCGAGUCGGCCUGCGCGGAAGAUGUAACGGGGCUAAACCAUGCACCGAAGCUGCGGCAGCGACACUAUGUGUUGUUGGGUAGGGGAGCGUUCUGUAAGCCGUUGAAGGUGUAUCGUGAGGUAUGCUGGAGGUAUCAGAAGUGCGAAUGCUGACAUAAGUAACGAUAAUGCGGGUGAAAAACCCGCACGCCGGAAGACCAAGGGUUCCUGUCCAACGUUAAUCGGGGCAGGGUGAGUCGACCCCUAAGGCGAGGCCGAAAGGCGUAGUCGAUGGGAAACAGGUUAAUAUUCCUGUACUUGGUGUUACUGCGAAGGGGGGACGGAGAAGGCUAUGUUAGCCGGGCGACGGUUGUCCCGGUUUAAGCAUGUAGGCGGAGGUUCCAGGUAAAUCCGGUACCUUUUUAACGCUGAGGUGUGAUGACGAGGCACUACGGUGCUGAAGUAACAAAUGCCCUGCUUCCAGGAAAAGCCUCUAAGCAUCAGGUAACACGAAAUCGUACCCCAAACCGACACAGGUGGUCAGGUAGAGAAUACCAAGGCGCUUGAGAGAACUCGGGUGAAGGAACUAGGCAAAAUGGUGCCGUAACUUCGGGAGAAGGCACGCUGAUAUGUAGGUGAAGUGAUUUACUCAUGGAGCUGAAAUCAGUCGAAGAUACCAGCUGGCUGCAACUGUUUAUUAAAAACACAGCACUGUGCAAACACGAAAGUGGACGUAUACGGUGUGACGCCUGCCCGGUGCCGGAAGGUUAAUUGAUGGGGUUAUCCGUAAGGAGAAGCUCUUGAUCGAAGCCCCGGUAAACGGCGGCCGUAACUAUAACGGUCCUAAGGUAGCGAAAUUCCUUGUCGGGUAAGUUCCGACCUGCACGAAUGGCGUAAUGAUGGCCAGGCUGUCUCCACCCGAGACUCAGUGAAAUUGAACUCGCUGUGAAGAUGCAGUGUACCCGCGGCAAGACGGAAAGACCCCGUGAACCUUUACUAUAGCUUGACACUGAACACUGGUCCUUGAUGUGUAGGAUAGGUGGGAGGCUUUGAAGUGUGGACGCCAGUCUGCAUGGAGCCAUCCUUGAAAUACCACCCUUUAAUGGCUGGUGUUCUAACGUGGACCCGUAAUCCGGGUUGCGGACAGUGUCUGGUGGGUAGUUUGACUGGGGCGGUCUCCUCCUAAAGAGUAACGGAGGAGCACGAAGGUUAGCUAAUCCUGGUCGGACAUCAGGAGGUUAGUGCAAAGGCAUAAGCUAGCUUGACUGCGAGAGUGACGGCUCGAGCAGGUGCGAAAGCAGGUCUUAGUGAUCCGGUGGUUCUGAAUGGAAGGGCCAUCGCUCAACGGAUAAAAGGUACUCCGGGGAUAACAGGCUGAUACCGCCCAAGAGUUCAUAUCGACGGCGGUGUUUGGCACCUCGAUGUCGGCUCAUCACAUCCUGGGGCUGAAGUAGGUCCCAAGGGUAUGGCUGUUCGCCAUUUAAAGUGGUACGCGAGCUGGGUUUAGAACGUCGUGAGACAGUUCGGUCCCUAUCUGCCGUGGGCGCUGGAGAAUUGAGGGGGGCUGCUCCUAGUACGAGAGGACCGGAGUGGACGCAUCACUGGUGUUCGGGUUGUCAUGCCAAUGGCAUUGCCCGGUAGCUAAAUGCGGAAGAGAUAAGUGCUGAAAGCAUCUAAGCACGAAACUUGCCCCGAGAUGAGUUCUCCCUGAGACUU
rnacentral:rRNA from 1 species